UCUAUUGUGAUGAUGUAAACAAAAAAAUAAGUAUAAAUAAAAAUGGUGAAGGGGGAAAAAUCCACCAUUUAAAAUAAACAUAUACUAAAACUGUGUAUGUAAUCUUCAGGGAGUGAUCUAAAGAAAAGCAAUGCUAUGCCAUCAGAGAGGUGACCUGAAAUGCGUUCAUUCAAGAAUCCAAACUAAGUCAAGUUUAAUUUCCUAACAGGAACAGAAUCAAACUUCACAAUUCCCCACGAUCAUCAGUGAAGUGAUCUAAUGAGUUAAUUCAACAGAAAUUACAUGGAAAAGUAGGUUUGAUAUGCUAGGAAGAAAAGAAAGACUAGAGGAUAUGAGAACAAGCCAACCUUAGAGAACAAAUAAGGACAGCAACAAGAGGCAUCAGAAAACCAUACAAAAAUGGGAAUCUAGCAUGACAGAGCAGUCCCAGAGGACCCAAGCUGCGAAUUCUGUGUAGGCAGCACACUCUUCGCAUGGAUCAAAGUGAAACAGGGAAUACCCCUUUCAGGAGAUACUCUUUGGCAGAUACUCAGACAAUCAGAAUGAUUCAGGGAAAAAACACGAUCAGCCAAUCUCAGCAGAAGAAACUAUUACUGCUACAUGGAGCCUUUUUUCUGUAGUGGCAGAAAUCUCAGAGGAUAACCUCUCCUCCAGGAUAGUGGGGGAAUAAAAUGACUAUUUAGUUGAAGGGACAAGUAUUUGUUUUCUGAUUUUUAAAGUAGCAGACCAACUAUUUCCAACUUAAAAGUAAUAAAUAUAUAGAAGUCUUAAGUAAGAAUGAUACUAACUUUGGCUGUAUGCUGUCAAAUAUUUCUUGAAGAGCUAACGCCCCAUAUUUUACACAAUACAAAUUAAUGAAGACUAGGAAACCUAUUGAAAGAAAAAGAUCAUGUUACAAACUAUCUAAAGAAUAUUUAUACAAUAGUAUGAACAACAAGAGACUUCUCUGAACUAGCUUUAGAAUGAGUAACAGACUGCACCAUUACUACUCAACCUGGCAUAAAACAUCCGUUUUAAAAAAGUGGAAUUCUUUGAAAGGAUUAGAAAUGGUGAUCCAAAGUAUGUAAAAUUUUACUUAUAGGAACUAGAUUCAUUCCAGUUAUCGAGAUUUGUUUAAAAAGUUAUGUACAGGGUACAAUUUUAGAUAUCAAAAAAGAAAUGAACAAAGAUUAAUUUUCUCAUGCAAUGUGUUAAGCUCCUGCUGUAAUUAGAUAAAUUAAGAAUUAUAGCAAUUGGAACCCUACAAUUGUCAAUCCUCUUUCCUAUAAGAAAAGGAGUACUUGUGGCACCUUAGAGACAAAUUUAUUUGAGCAUAAGCUUUCGUGAGCUACAGCUCACUUUAUCGGAUGCCUCCUAACAUACGACGCCUUUCCUAUGUGGCUGUUAGGAAAAUCACUUAAUUGCAGUUUGAUGUAGGUUGUUAUAUCAUAUUCUCAUUCCUGCCAAAGACACACAUUUAACUACAAAACUCAAGAUUUUGUGGCAUAUUGUAUGAUUUACAUAGUGAAAGACAACAAGAUUUUAUACUGAGUAACUAUGAUAAUCUCUAAAUUAUGGUGUAAAUCACCAAAACAUUUCAGUUAUUUGCCACCCAUUUUGCUUGUGUCGUGCAAAACCAUAACAAUGACCACAGCUGUGUUAAAGCAGAAUAACUUCCCAAAUACAUGAAAUGUGAGUCCUAAUUGCUGAUCUGUUGAUAUAAUUGACAUACAAGCACAUCAGGUCACUGUUAAGUUUCUGUAUUUAGAGUGCAAGUUUGAUGAAGCUGGAAUAGAUAUUGCUUCUGAGUAUCAAUUUGAGAUGAAAAUGAGUCUUAUGAAGUGUUUUAUCAAUAGUGGUGUCAGCAAUAUGAAGGUGGAAAGGAACGCACAAGUCUUUCUCCAUAACUUCUUAUUUCCAUUAUUUUAAGGUUUGGGAUCAAUGAAGUGUGUCCCGUGGCAACCUCAAUUGCCUCAAGAUGUAGCUUUUGUUCGCUAAUGGAAAUAAAUUGGUAUAAAUCACAGAAUUUCGAGAUGCAAAAGACCUGUUAGGUCAUGUAGUCAUCCCCCUUGGCCACUGCAGGAUUCUUCCCUAUGAGCUCUAUUGAAAGGCACCAGCUUCUCCCAUCUCACUAGCAGAACUGGGGAACCCUAUUUGCAUGCCAAGAGCAGCAGGGUCUGGGCACAAGAAUUCUGCAUCUACAAUGGUUAGCUGUGUGACGCAGUGGUUGCCACCAAUAAA